GAAUCUAACCAUACUCUCUCUCUCUCUCUCUUUUUUUUCACUCUCUGUCGACAGGGUCUGUCUCUCUUUACCUUUAUUUUUUUUUCUUCUGAAAACUCAAUCUCUCCAUAGAUUCUCUCUCAAUCUCUUAAUCUCUAUCAACAAAAUAAUUUUUUUUUCCUCUUCCUCAUUCAUCUUCGUGAUUUUUUUCUUCUGAUUUAAUGUUUUUUUGUUUCUUCUCUUCUACUCAUCUGUUUUUAGAUUUGUUUUUUUUUGUUUCCAGAUCUGCGAAAAUGGUACUGUGAUAACUGAAGGUGGUGGUGUGACGACCGAGAGAGCAAGACAACAGAGGACAUGGCUGAGGGCGUGGCUCGUCGCUGCAUCUCUCUCUCUCUCUGUUCGUUUUAGAUUGUUGGAGGCUGGAGUAAGAGAACGAACAGAGGGUUGAGGUGUAUGCUCUGGUGGCUGGAGGCGGAGGACUAGGGUUACGGAGCUGGAGGCGGAGGAUUAGGGUUACAGAACUAGAGGCGGAAGCUCGGGGAAUGGUGGUUUAGGUCUAGGUUAAUUGGGUUUUGGUUUAAUGUUUGUAAUUUAUUUUUUCUUUAAUGUGUUCUUUAGUUAUUUUGUAUGAUGAUUAAAAUUAAUAAAAUAAAUUUUAAUUUUUAA